rnacentral:rRNA from 1 species
ACGUCUACAUUAGAUACCCGGGUAGUCCCAGCUGUAAACUAUGCGCGUUAGGUGUAUCGGUGACCACGAGUUACCGAGGUGCCGAAGGGAAACCGUGAAACGUGCCGCCUGGGAAGUACGGUCGCAAGGCUGAAACUUAAAGGAAUUGGCGGGGAGCACCACAACGGGUGGAGCCUGCGGUUUAAUUGGACUCAACGCCGGGAAGCUCACCGGAUAAGACAGCGGAAUGAUUGCCGGGCUGAAGACUCUGCAUGACUAGCUG